GCGAUAUAGCUUAGCUGGUUAGAGCGAUCGGUUCAUACCCGAUAGGUCAAAGGUUCGAAUCCUUUUAUCGC
rnacentral:tRNA from 1 species